UCGACCUGAGAUUUAUAGGACAUGCAUUGGCAUUUUGCUCUAAAUUUGAUGCAGGAAGCAAGGAAAAGGAUGAAUUGCUUAAAGCAUGUACUGAAGGAGUUGCUGGCAGAGGGCAUGAUUUUUUGAUCAGGUUCAUCAUAUGAAGGAUGACGGCAAUAGCCACAGGCAGGCUUCUGCUUAAAUCACAGAAGUCCAUGAGAAUGUAAAGAUAUAAAGCUUUAGUGAAUCCUCAUUUUUAUUCCAUACUUGUAAAUGAAAGGUCAAGAUACUAAAGAAAAAGCUGACGGCUGUUGUUUCUGACUAUUGAAGUAACAACUGUGCAAAUGAUCUCAUUUUCUGGAUGCUGUAUAUAGGACUAAUGAGUGGAAUACUGCAAUGUCCUUACAGUCAAUGUAAUCCUUAUAAUGAUGAGUGUUGUGGUUCAAAUUUGGCCCGCGCUGAGGUCUGCUUAGCCGGAAUGGGGUGGUCCCCUGUCUUGAGCAGGACAAUCCAUUCUGUCCCCUAUCAAUGAG
rnacentral:lncRNA from 1 species